GGAGCAAUCCAUGAGUACAGUGGCGUACGGGUGAGUAACACGUGGAUCAUCUACCUUCUAGUGGGGAAUACCCCCGGGAAACUGGGGACAAUACCGCAUAAGCUCGUAAGAGGAAAGCAGCAAUGCGCUGGAAGAGGAGUCCGCGGCUGAUUAGCUAGUUGGCGGGGUAAUGGCCCACCAAGGCGAAGAUCGGUAGCCGGCCUGAGAGGGCACACGGCCACACUGGCACUGAAACACGGGCCAGACUCCUACGGGAGGCAGCAGUGGGGAAUCUUGCACAAUGGAGGAAACUCUGAUGCAGCGACGCCGCGUGAGCGAUGAAGCCCUUCGGGGUGUAAAGCUCUUUCGACGGGAACGAUAAUGACGGUACCCGAAGAAGAAGCUGCGGCUAACUACGUGCCAGCAGCCGCGGUAAUACGUAGGCAGCAAGCGUUGUUCGGAAUUACUGGGCGUAAAGAGUGUGUAGGCGGUGCUCCAAGUCUGGUGUGAAAUCUCCCGGCUUAACUGGGAGGGUGCAUUAGAAACUGAAUGCUAGAGGAUGGGAGAGGUAAGCGGAAUUCCUGGUGUAGCGGUGAAAUGCGUAGAUAUCAGGAGGAACACCUGUGGUGUAGACAGCUUACUGGACCAUUUCUGACGCUGAGACACGAAAGCGUGGGUAGCAAACAGGAUUAGAUACCCUGGUAGUCCACGCCCUAAACGAUGCAUACUUGGUGUGAGCGAUUCAUUUCGUUCGUGCCGGAGCUAACGCGUUAAGUAUGCCGCCUGGGGAGUACGGUCGCAAGGCUAAAACUCAAAGGAAUUGACGGGGGCCCGCACAAGCGGUGGAGCAUGUGGUUCAAUUCGACACAACGCGAAGAACCUUACCUGGGCUCGAACGGCUAUGGACCAUUCCUGGAAACAGGGACUUCUCGCAAGAGACUGUAGUCGAGGUGCUGCAUGGCUGUCGUCAGCUCGUGUCGUGAGAUGUUGGGUUAAGUCCCGCAACGAGCGCAACCCUUGUCCUGUGUUGCCAUCAUUAAGUUGGGCACUCUCAGGAGACCGCCAGCGAUAAGCUGGAGGAAGGUGGGGAUGAUGUCAAGUCAUCAUGGCCUUUAUGUCCAGGGCUACACACGUGCUACAAUGGCCGGUACAAAGCGCUGCAAACUCGCAAGAGGGAGCUAAUCGCAAAAAACCGGUCUCAGUUCGGAUCGCAGGCUGCAACUUGCCUGCGUGAAGCUGGAAUCGCUAGUAAUGCCGUAUCAGAACGAUGGCGUGAAUACGUUCCCGGGCCUUGUACACACCGCCCGUCACAUCACGAAAGUGGAUUGUACUAGAAGUCCUAAUCAAACAGGCCCAAGGUAUGAUUCAUGAUUGGGGUGAAGUCGAAACAAGGUA
rnacentral:rRNA from 1 species